CUGGGACCUCAGCAGGGGGUCGGCACCGCGCGCCAGCAGUAAACUAACCAUCUCAUAAUUCCCUGAGAGAUUGCGAAAGCAGGAGAGUGACCAGAGGAGAAGUACAGGAGAAAAGGGGAAACAGAUGGGCCAUAUUUUUAGGGAUUCCUGUUUGGGAUGGGAGUGACCAGCCUUCCCUGGCAGGCUGUAAAUCUGAGCUGGUGGAGGUUGGGAGAGGCUGGCAUGAGGGAGUUGUGCUACACACACCUGCUGCAGAUGCCAGCUGAAGAGGCGUCUCGACAUUGCUCUCCUGCCCGUUACGGACGGCUGCUCCUUCCACAUUCGCCCCAGCGUCUAACAGAAGCUGAAGAUACAGGCAUGCAUGUAGCGAAUGUGAGCGCCACCCAGUGACGGCUGUCUGGAUGGACUGAAGGGUGUUUGGGGGAGCAAACAGCAGUCUGGGCUCACAGUCCAGUCCAGGCAGGAGCAGCCGCGCCGUCUGUCUGACAUCAUCGCUGUCCACCAAUAAGCUGCGGCGAUGCUCCGCGUGAACGAUGGCUACACGCAUCCACUCCAUCAGCGGGGGGAGGAGGAGGAACGGCCUGAGGACAGCAGAAAACAGCAAGGCCAUCCUGGGCGGAUCCAGGUUGGGGUUCUCCAUGGACUCCAUCUGAGGGCAUCGCAGGAAGUAGUAGAGAGUGUGGAGGGCAUCCGGAGACCAGGAGACAGGCUGCUGGCGGGCAUGACGU